rnacentral:lncRNA from 1 species
AUGUUGGACAGGAAAUGGCUUGAUUCCAUUAGAUCAAAACACGAUAAGAGUUUGAAGACGCUGCUGACAUUGUGUUGCUUCUGGGUUCUGCUUCUGGAUGACUGGUUUGGAUCAGGGAAGUACUCCAGUAACCGGCUGAACACGUUGCACUUACCGCUGCACCCGCGAUCGCCUGCCCUAGCAGCACAAUUGAAAACAUAG